CUUCUUCCUUGUCUUUCUCUCGUUGGGAAGAACUUUUUGUCUCCAAUUUUUUAUCGUAAAAUCAGCAGAGAAGCCUCUCCUUGAAGCAUGAAAACCAGCGACAAAAUCUCAAGAAGAAAGAGAAGAAGAGAGGGUAGGCAUGAAGAGUUUGGGGCGUCCAACUCUUGGACGUCCCCUUACCUUUUUUUUCUUCUUAGGUGACCACAAGGGAAGGGAUGCCUCUUCCUUUUUCACAGGAGGAAGAGAGGAAAGGGGGUGCACAAAAAAAUGGGGCAUGGGGUUUCUUCUCAACAUGAAAAAAUGUGGUGCACGG
rnacentral:lncRNA from 1 species